CGGGGUGAGUAACGCGUGGGUAACCUGCCUCAUACAGGGGGAUAACGGUUAGAAAUGACUGCUAAUACCGCAUAAGCGCACAGUGCUGCAUGGCACAGUGUGAAAAACUCCGGUGGUAUGAGAUGGACCCGCGUCUGAUUAGCUAGUUGGUGGGGUAACGGCCUACCAAGGCGACGAUCAGUAGCCGGCCUGAGAGGGUGAACGGCCACAUUGGGACUGAGACACGGCCCAA
rnacentral:rRNA from 1 species